GCGGCCGUGGUGGAACUGGCAGACACGCUGGGUUUAGGUCCCAGUGGGCUAACACCCCGUGAGGGUUCAAGUCCCUCCGGCCGCAC
rnacentral:tRNA from 2 species